UACGUAGGCAGCGAGCGUUGUUCGGAGUUACUGGGCGUAAAGGGUGUGUAGGCGGUCCCUUAAGUUUGGUGUGAAAUCUCCCGGCUCAACUGGGAGGGUGCGCCGGAUACUGAGGGGCUAGAGUGCGGGAAGGGAAAGUGGAAUUCCUGGUGUAGCGGUGAAAUGCGUAGAUAUCAGGAGGAACACCGAUGGCGAAGGCAGCCCCCUGGGCUAACACUGACGCUCAUGCACGAAAGCGUGGGGAGCAAACAGG
rnacentral:rRNA from 1 species